rnacentral:rRNA from 1 species
AACGGCCGUACCAUGCUGAAUAUACCGGUUCUCGUUACAUCACCGAAGUUAAGCAUCAUUGGGCGCGGUCAGUACUUGGGUGGGUGACCACCUGGGAACACUGCGUGCCGUU